UACGGGGGGGGCAAGCGUUGUUCGGAAUUAUUGGGCGUAAAGAGCUCGUAGGCGGUUUGUUGCGUCGGCUGUGAAAUCCCGAGGCUCAACCUCGGGUCUGCAGUCGAUACGAGCAAACUAGAGUGUUGCAGGGGAGACUGGAAUUCCUGGUGUAGCGGUGAAAUGCGCAGAUAUCAGGAGGAACACCGGUGGCGAAGGCGGGUCUCUGGGCAACAACUGACGCUGAGGAGCGAAAGCGUGGGGAUCAAACAGG
rnacentral:rRNA from 1 species